AUCACCUGGGGAUUUUGUUUAAAUGCAGGUUCUGGUUUCAGUAAGUCAGGCACAGGAUCUAAGAUCCUGCAUUUCUAACCAGUUGCCAGGUGAUGCUAA
rnacentral:pre_miRNA from 1 species